rnacentral:rRNA from 1 species
GCAGAGUUUGAUCCUGGCUCAGGAUGAACGCUGGCGGCAUGCCUAACACAUGCAAGUCGAAUGAGUUUAGACUCAUGGCAGACGGCUGAGUAACGCGUGGGGAUCUACCCUUAGGUCGAGCAUAACCUGCCGAAAGGUGGGAUAAUUCUCGAUGGUCUAUUUUAUAGUAAAGAUUUAUCGCCUAGGGAGGAACCUGCGUCCGAUUAGCUUGUUGGUAAGGUAACGGCUUACCAAGGCUGUGAUCGGUAAGGGGCUUGAGAGAGUGACCCCUCAGACUGGGACUGAGACACGGCCCAGACUCCUACGGGAGGCAGCAGUGAGGAAUAUUGCACAAUGGGCGAAAGCCUGAUGCAGCAAUGCCGCGUGCAGGAAGAAGGCCUUCGGGUUGUAAACUGCUUUUAUUUGUGAAGAUUAUGACGGUAACAAAUGAAUAAGAACUUGCUAACUACGUGCCAGCAGCAGCGGUAAUACGUAGAGUUCGAGCGUUGUCCGGAUUUAUUGGGCGUAAAGAGUUUGUAGGCGGAUUGGUAAGUCGAACGUUAAAUAUCCUGGCUCAACCAAGGGAAAGUGUUCGAAACUACCUAUCUAGAGGUCGGCAGAGGCAGACGGAAUUCUCGGUGUAGGGGUAAUAUCCGUAGAUAUCGAGAAGAACACCAAAGGCGAAGGCAGUCUGCUGGGCCGCACCUGACGCUCAGAAACGAAAGCGUGGGGAGCGAACGGGAUUAGAUACCCCGGUAGUCCACGCCGUAAACGAUGGAUACUAGGCAUUGGUGGCAUCGGUCCCCUCAGUGCCGAAGCUAACGCGUUAAGUAUCCCGCCUGGGGAGUACGAUCGCAAGAUUAAAACUCAAAGGAAUUGACGGGGACCCGCACAAGCGGUGGAGCACGUGGUUUAAUUCGACAGUAAGCGGAGCACCUCACCAGGUCUUGCAUCCUGUUGGAAGCUUUAAGAAAUUUUAGCCCUCCUUUUGGACAGCAGUGACAGGUGCUGCACGGUUGUCGUCGGCUCGUGUCGUGAGAUGUUAGGUUAAGUCCUUUAACGAGCGCAACCCCUAUGUUGUGUUGUAUUUUUCACAACAGACUGCCUGGGUUAACCAGGAGGAAGGUGGGGAUGACGUCAAAUCAGCGUGGCCCUUAUGGCCUGGGCGACACACAUGCUACAAUGAUUGGGAACAAAGGGUUGCCAAGUCGUGAGACGGAGCUAAUCCCUUAAAACCAGUCUAAGUUCGGAUUGAAGGCUGCAACUCGCCUUCAUGAAGUUGGAAUCGCUAGUAAUCGUAGAUCAGCCAUGCUACGGUGAAUACGUUCUCGGGUCUUGUACACACCGCCCGUCAUACCACGAAAGUCAGAGGCAUCCGAAACUCCAUUUUUUGGGACUAAGGUGAAACUGAUGAUUGGGGUAAAGUCGUAACAAGGUA